rnacentral:rRNA from 1 species
GACGAACGCUGGCGGCGUGCUUAACACAUGCAAGUCGAACGGAAAGGCCCUGCUUUUGUGGGGUUCUCGAUUGGCGAACGGGUGAGUAACACGUGAGUAACCUGCCCUUGACUUUGGGAUAACUUCAGGAAACUGGGGCUAAUACCGGAUAGGAGCUCCUGCUGCAUGGUGGGGGUUGGAAAGUUUCGGCGGUUGGGGAUGGACUCGCGGCUUAUCCGCUUGUUGGUGGGGUAGUGGCUUACCAAGCCUUUGACGGGUAGCCGGCCUGAGAGGGUGACCGGCGACAUUGGGACUGAGAGACGGACCAGAAGCCUACGGGAGGCAGUAGUGGGGAAUAUUGCACAAUGGGCGGAAGCCUGAUGCAGAAACGCCGCGAGCGGGAUGACGGCCUUCGGGUUGUAAACCGCUUUGGCCUGUGACGAAGCGUGAGUGACGGUAAUGGGUAAAGAAGCACCGGCUAACUACGUG